GACGAACGCUGGCGGCGUGCUUAACACAUGCAAGUCGAACGGAAAGGCCCUGCUUUUGUGGGGUGCUCGAGUGGCGAACGGGUGAGUAACACGUGAGUAACCUGCCCUUGACUUUGGGAUAACUUCAGGAAACUGGGGCUAAUACCGGAUAGGAGCUCCUGCUGCAUGGUGGGGGUUGGAAAGUUUCGGCGGUUGGGGAUGGACUCGCGGCUUAUCAGCUUGUUGGUGGGGUAGUGGCUUACCAAGGCUUUGACGGGUAGCCGGCCUGAGAGGGUGACCGGCCACAUUGGGACUGAGAUACGGCCCAGACUCCUACGGGAGGCAGCAGUGGGGAAUAUUGCACAAUGGGCGGAAGCCUGAUGCAGCAACGCCGCGUGCGGGAUGACGGCCUUCGGGUUGUAAACCGCUUUCGCCUGUGACGAAGCGUGAGUGACGGUAAUGGGUAAAGAAGCACCGGCUAACUACGUGCCAGCAGCCGCCGUAA
rnacentral:rRNA from 1 species